rnacentral:rRNA from 1 species
CCUACGGGUGGCUGCAGUGAGGAAUAUUGGUCAAUGGGCGCGAGCCUGAACCAGCCAAGCCGCGUGAAGGAUGACUGCCCUACGGGUUGUAAACUUCUUUUAUAAAGGAAUAAAGUGAGGCACGUGUGCCUUUUUGUAUGUACUUUAUGAAUAAGGAUCGGCUAACUCCGUGCCAGCAGCCGCGGUAAUACGGAGGAUCCGAGCGUUAUCCGGAUUUAUUGGGUUUAAAGGGAGCGUAGACGGGUUGUUAAGUCAGUUGUGAAAGGUUGGGGCUCAACCGCAAAACUGCAUUUAAUACUGGCAGUCUUGAGUACAGUUGAGGUAGGCGGAAUGCGUGGUGUAGCGGUGAAAUGCUUAGAGAUCACGAAGAACUCCGAUUGCGAAGGCAGCUUACUAAACUGCCACUGACAUUGAGGCUCGAAAGUGUGGGUAUCAAACAGGAUUAGAUACCCGUGUAGUC